CGUAGGUGGCAAGGCGUUGUCCGGAUUUAUUGGGUUUAAAGGGUGCGUAGGCGGUCUUGUAAGUCAGUGGUGAAAUACGGCAGCUUAACUGUCGAGGUGCCAUUGAUACUGCAGGACUUGAGUACGGACGAGGUAGGCGGAAUUGACGGUGUAGCGGUGAAAUGCUUAGAUAUCGUCAAGAACACCGAUAGCGAAGGCAGCUCACUAGACUGUAACUGACGCUGAUGCACGAAAGUGUGGGGAUCAAACAGGAUUAGAUACCCUGGUAGUCCACACUGUAAACGAUGAUUACUCGAUGUUGGCGAUACACAGCCAGCGUCUUAGCGAAAGCGAUAAGUAAUCCACCUGGGGAGUACGCCGGCAACGGUG
rnacentral:rRNA from 1 species